rnacentral:rRNA from 1 species
CGUAGGGUGCGAGGCGUUAAUCGGAAUUACUGGGCGUAAAGCGUGCGCAGGCGGUUUGCUAAGACAGGUGUGAAAUCCCCGGGCUUAACCUGGGAACUGCGCUUGUAACUGGCAAGCUAGAGUGUGGCAGAGGGGGGUGGAAUUCCACGUGUAGCAGUGAAAUGCGUAGAGAUGUGGAGGAACACCGAUGGCGAAGGCAGCCCCCUGGGCUAACACUGACGCUCAUGCACGAAGGCGUGGGGAGCAAACAGGAUUAGAUACCCUGGUAGUCCACGCCCUAAACUAUGUCAACUGGUUGCCGGGGAAGCAAUUCCUUGGUAACGAAGCUAACGCGUGAAGUUGACCGCCUGGGGAGUACGGCCGCAAGGUUA